rnacentral:rRNA from 1 species
AAUCAUUUAUGCUUGCAUAAAUGAUUUUUGGAUUCGGAGCGAGUGGCGAACUGGUGAGUGACACGUGGGUAACCUGCCCCGAAGCGGGGGAUAACAUUUGGAAACAAAUGCUAAUACCGCAUAAUUAGUCAGAACCGCAUGGUUCCGACUUAAAAGAUGGCUCCGCUAUCACUUCGGGAUGGACCCGCGCCGUAUUAGUUAGUUGGUGAGAUAAAAGCCCACCAAGACGAUGAUACGUAGCCGACCUGAGAGGGUAAUCGGCCACAUUGGGACUGAGACACGGCCCAGACUCCUACGGGAGGCAGCAGUAGGGAAUCUUCCACAAUGGACGAAAGUCUGAUGGAGCAACGCCGCGUGAGUGAUGAAGGGUUUCGGCUCGUAAAACUCUGUUGUUAAAGAAGAACAAGCAUGGGAGUAACUGUUCAUGCUUUGACGGUAUUUAACCAGAAAGCCACGGCUAACUACGUGCCAGCAGCCGCGGUAAUACGUAGGUGGCAAGCGUUGUCCGGAUUUAUUGGGCGUAAAGCGAGCGCAGGCGGUUUUGUAAGUCUGCUGUGAAAGCCCUCAGCUCAACUGAGGAAGUGCAGUGGAAACUACAAAACUUGAGUACAGAAGAGGAAAGUGGAACUCCAUGUGUAGCGGUGAAAUGCGUAGAUAUAUGGAAGAACACCAGUGGCGAAGGCGGCUUUCUGGUCUGUUACUGACGCUGAGGCUCGAAAGCAUGGGUAGCGAACAGGAUUAGAUACCCUGGUAGUCCAUGCCGUAAACGAUGAAUACUAGGUGUUGGAGGGUUUCCGCCCUUCAGUGCCGCAGCUAACGCAUUAAGUAUUCCGCCUGGGGAGUACGACCGCAAGGUUGAAACUCAAAGGAAUUGACGGGGGCCCGCACAAGUGGUGGAGCAUGUGGUUUAAUUCGAUGCUACGCGAAGAACCUUACCAGCUCUUGACGUCUUCUGCCAACCUAAGAGAUUAGGCGUUCCCUUCGGGGACAGAAUGACAGGUGGUGCAUGGUUGUCGUCAGCUCGUGUCGUGAGAUGUUGGGUUAAGUCCCGCAACGAGCGCAACCCUUAUUAUUAGUUGCCAGCAUUUAGUUGGGCACUCUAGUGAGACUGCCGGUGAUAAA